rnacentral:rRNA from 1 species
UGAAUGGCCGCGGUAUCCUGACCGUGCUAAGGUAGCGUAAUAAGUUGGCUUUUAAAUGGAGUCAGGUAUGAAUGGAUAAACUGGGUUUAGCUGUCUCAAAUGUAAUAUAUCGAAUUUACUGUGCAAGUGAAAAAGCUUGUAUAUAAUAAGGGGACGAGAAGACCCUUAAAAUUUUAGUUUAAAGUAAUAUUAUUAUUACUAUAAUUUUGUUGGGGCGACAUAGAAAUAUUUAUACCUUUCUGUAAAAAUCAAGCCGGAAUUUUCAAGAGAGAAUAAAUUACUUAAGGGAUAACAGCAUAAUUCUAUAAUUGAGUUUGUGACCUCGAUGUUGGACUAGGAAGCUAGCAGGUUAGACACUUGCUGUGGAAAUUCUGUUCGAAUUAUAACUCCUACGUGAUCUGAGU